rnacentral:rRNA from 1 species
GGGUCAGUAGGUUGGACGUGCCACCGGUACGUACUGGUCUCACUGAUUCCUCCUUCCUGAAGAACCGUGAUGCCAUUAAUUUGGUGUUGCGGGGAAACAGGACUGUUACUUUGAAAAAAUUAGAGUGUUUAAAGCAAGCUAACGCUUGAAUACAUUAGCAUGGAAUAAUGAAAUAGGACGAUCGAUCCUAUUUUGUUGGUUUCUAGGAUUGACGUA